rnacentral:miRNA from 1 species
UGUGGCAUUGUUGGAGGACAUGUGUCACUGGGGGUAGGCUUUGAGGUUUCAGAAGUUCAAGCCAGGCCUGGUGGGUCACUCUUUCUGCCUGCUGCCUACCAAUCC